rnacentral:rRNA from 1 species
GACGAACGCUGGCGGCGUGCUUAACACAUGCAAGUCGAGCGGUAAGGCCCUUUCGGGGGUACACGAGCGGCGAACGGGUGAGUAACACGUGGGUGACCUGCCCUCAGCUCUGGGAUAAGCCUGGGAAACCGGGUCUAAUACUGGAUAUGACUCCAUGACGCAUGUUGGUGGGGUGGAAAGCCUUGUGCGGCUGAGGAUGGGCCCGCGGCCUAUCAGCUUGUUGGUGGGGUGANGGCCUACCAAGGCGACGACGGGUAGCCGGCCUGAGAGGGCGACCGGCCACACUGGGACUGAGACACGGCCCAGACUCCUACGGGAGGCAGCAGGUGGGGAAUCUUGCGCAAUGGGCGAAAGCCUGACGCAGCGACGCCGCGUGAGGGAUGACGGCCU